ACAGUACAAACUGAUCAGGUGUAGGAUUCCUAUCACCGGGUUGCAUUUGCGACAGCAGGUAACAUAACAUCUGCGGGACAGU
rnacentral:ncRNA from 1 species